UACAUGGGGUGCAAACGUUGCUCGGAAUUAUUGGGCGUAAAGGGUGCGUAGGCGGUUCCGCAAGUCCUGUGUGAAAUCUUCGGGCUCAACUCGAAGUCUGCACGGGAAACUGCGGGGCUUGAGUGUGGGAGAGGUGAGUGGAAUUCCCGGUGUAGCGGUGAAAUGCGCAGAUAUCAGGAGGAACACCAAUGGCGAAGGCAGCACUCUGGGACGUGACUGACGCUGAGACGCGAAAGCGUGGGUAGCAAACAGG
rnacentral:rRNA from 1 species